rnacentral:rRNA from 1 species
CACGAACGCUGGCGGCAGGCUUAACACAUGCAAGUCGAGCGCCCCGCAAGGGGAGCGGCAGACGGGUGAGUAACGCGUGGGAAUCUACCCAUCUCUACGGAAUAACGCAUGGAAACGUGUGCUAAUACCGUAUACGUCCUUCGGGAGAAAGAUUUAUCGGAGAUGGAUGAGCCCGCGUUGGAUUAGCUAGUUGGUGGGGUAAGGGCCUACCAAGGCGACGAUCCAUAGCUGGUCUGAGAGGAUGAUCAGCCACACUGGGACUGAGACACGGCCCAGACUCCUACGGGAGGCAGCAGUGGGGAAUAUUGGACAAUGGGCGCAAGCCUGGUCCAGCCAUGCCGCGUGAGUGAUGAAGGCCCUAGGGUUGUAAAGCUCUUUCACCGGUGAAGAUAAUGACGGUAACCGGAGAAGAAGCCCCGGCUAACUUCGUGCCAGCUGCCGCAGUAAUAC